UGAGAGUCAAUACCUAUAGAGUCUUGAACUAAAAAAGUUAUGAAUGGUUAUAUAAGUUAUAAAUUAAAUGUAUUGUAAAAUUAUAUUAUUUGACUUAAAUUAAAUAAACUAACUAAGUCAUAUUUUUAAGGGUGAGCAUUGAUUAUGUAGUUAAAAUGUUUAAAAAAAGAAAAAGUUAAUUUUUUUUAAACUAUUUAAAUUUUUUAAUUAACUUCAGAAUAUAAUUAUAGUUGAAUUUAUCAUUUAUUAGCUAUUAACUAUAUUGACUUAGAACAAUCUUGUGUUCACCAAACUUAUCUUGACUUAAAUGUAUUCAUUGACAUGCUCACUUUUGCAUAUCUUGGCGUUAACUCUACCAUUGGCGGUCCUCAGUCCGUAUGAAAAAGAAGGAAGGGUGCUUUAACGACAUUAUUAUUUUUUUGUAAUUUUCAAGUAUUUAAAAUUAAUCAUGCUUCUUUUGGUUUAUUAUAAUUGAAAGUCAUGUAUUGUUCUUUUAAAUUGAUUUUUAAUCGUAAUACUAUCUUUAAUGUGUUUUUUUAUUUUUAUUUUGUAGGUUAUAUUAUCAUUGCUGAAGUUGUAGCCAGUGUUUAUAAUGCACAGGACUAGGACAUGUAGUGUGAAUUGGAAAGUGGAAACAAUACCUAAUUCAGACAUUUAAAUAAACAUUUCAGAUUUAUAAGAUGUCAAGUUUAGGUCUAUAUAUCUACAGAAUUCUAUGUGGAAGUCUUAUGUGUCUAUAGACUAUAGAAUCUAUUUAAGGUUUAUUAGACUUAUUAUUUUAUAAAAAUACUAUUUAUGCGUUGUUUUUCUUUAUUUUAAAAUGUAUUUUUUUUUUUUACAAAAUCGGGUGACAAAGCAAGACAAAUUUGCUGAAGUAUAAAAGAAUAAAAGACCUAUGAAUGAUAGAACUACAGUAAAAGACCAAAAACGUGAUAAAAGAAGGAAAUGUAUUAGUCAAUGUUUUAGAGUUUCCUUUAUUUGAUGAUAUGUGUAAAAUCCUUAUUUGUGAACUGAUUUAUGGCGCUAUUUUCAUUAAGAUGUUCAUAAGACUAAGAGCAAAAUCAAACCAAAUAUUGAAGAGCCUGAAAAUAUCAAUCCAUUUAUGCAAUAUUCACAAUCAGGAAACCAUUGGAGUGGUAAAGGAAGGAAAUCUACUAGCCACUAUUUAUGGGAUUCUGAGUUACCUAGUUUUGAUGUUCCAAAAUCUCACUCUUUCUUAAAAUUUUUACCAUCUACAGAUAUAUUUUAAUUUCUAAUUGUUAAUAAAAGAUGAUCAGUUUUCACCUCUAAUAUUUGCCUCAUCAUCAAAUUCCCCAUCAUAUCCAAUUCCAUCAAACCACCGUGAUGAAUCAAACAAUUUAGAAAGCAUAAAAAUCUGAAAUAAAAUAACUGAUGACAUUACAGUUUCAAGAACAUAGGAAAACCAAUGAUUUACUCAAUAAAUUGUUGAUAACCAGAUCAGAAGAUGAUGUUUCGAUACCACAAAAUUUCAACAGAGAACAUUUUACUAUUACUUUUGCUUACUUGCUUACUGUUCCUUUAAAUGACAUUCAACAUUUAGCAAAAUCAUUAAAACUAGCUGCAUCAAGACAUUAAUUAAUUCAAUGCGGUUGUUCUACAAUUGAAGAUACUUCUGAUUUAAUGCUUCAAUUAUUGUUUACUGACUUAUGUGGCUCCUUGUAUAAUUGUGAGGGAAAAAUUAAAAUAAAUUUAUUUUUAUGGAUCCAACAAUUCAUGGCAUUAUUAUUGAUAUAGCCUUGUUUAAGCAUCUAGAAGAUACAGAACAAACAGUAGUAAGAAAAAUAAAAAAAAUUGUUUGAGGUUAGCACCAAUAAGAAUUAAUAGUAAAAUAGGGCAAAAAUAUCACAAAACAAAAACAUAAUUAUAUAUUAUUAGCUAUUAUUUACUUAAAUUAAAGUAAAAAGACAAAAUAUCAAUUAGAUAUUUAUAUUUUAUACUAAUAUAAAUGUGAUAGAUACUAUUUUAUAACAUUAAUUUUGAAUACCAUAAGUAUUAAUUUUGUAUUUUGAUUUUUCAUUGCAUAUAAAUGGUUUUUAAAUGCAUACUAUGCAAUAUUGUUAUGUUAAAUUUUAUAGUAAAAUAGUAUUUAUAGUUGUGAACCUGUUAUAGUAUUAAUCGCUUAAAAUUGCUGUGUAUUUAUUUUUGUUUAUAUGCAUAUUUUAUUUCUUAAAAAAUUGUAUGUAUUGAUUUUAAGAUUAAAAACUAUGGUUGAACAUCAAUCUUGUAUACUUUAUAAAUUAUGUUAAAAAUAAUGAAAAUAAAAUACAUUUUUUUUUUACAUAUUUAUUAUUUUAUAGGGUAUAUUCUACAGAAUAAGAACAUAAUGCAUACUUCUAAGGUUUUUUGAACACAUAAAUCCAGUCUCUAGCUAUAACUGACAAAAAUGUUUUUUAAAUUAAAGUACUUAACUAAAACCUUACUACCACAUACUACUAUUUUUUCCCUAAUAACUUAUUUUUAAAAUUACUAAUAUAUUGUAAUAUAAUAACAGUAAUA